AUUGUAAUGGGCUGAGGCUUGAGUUGAUGCACUGAGGUCCCAAGCACAUGAGGCUGAAUAGUGAUUGGACCAUACUCUAUUAAUAUAUAAGCUUGGAGAAAGAAUGGCC